UAGGCUCUCGGUUUUCAAUUAGGUCCUC
rnacentral:piRNA from 1 species